AUCGAACCCUACUUGAUAUAACCUUAGCUUAUCUAACCCUAGUUGAUCGAACCCUACUCCAUCUAACCCUAUUUUAUUUUCACCCAUUUUAACCAUUUGUGGCAGAAAAAAACGUACGCAUGAAAUCAGAUGUAAAUAGUGACUACCCAAAAGUUUUUAACAAAAACAAGAAUGACAUACUUGGUACAGUGGAUAUAUUAGCUACACCCCGGAAUGGUGUACUUGUCAAUGAGAACGAGUUAUUUGUAUCAUGUUUUGUUAACAACGUUUUAUAUGCAAAAAGUGAUUUUGUUUAUAAUCGUACAGAUUUCAAAUUACCAACACUCAACAUAUUAGAUGCAGAAAAAAAAAACAUAUUACAACUUCUAGAUUUAGAUGAACGGAUUUUUAAAACCCCAGAAAACAUUUUUUUUUCCAUCAAAAGAUUUCAGUUUAUUUCUGAAAAUGUUUAAAAAAAAUAAUUCAGAUUUAGUAUAUGGUUUGGACGUGGAAAACGUGUCGAAGAUGCUAAUAAAUAAAUAUACGACUUAUAUGAACGAAAAUGUUUUAAACAAAAAAGUAGAAUUUACAAGUGACAUAAAAAAUACAUUGGACAAUGGAUAUAACCACUUCAUGGAGCAACGUGAUAACUGGUACAACUGCAGAGAACUAAUUGAAGAUAUAGAAACGAAUAGAAAACAAUCUAAAAAGAUAGAAGAGUUUGUUUUAGGAGUUUGUGCAUGUACUAAAACGAUCAUUUAUAAUGAGAAAUAUUCGAAUAACUCAAUAAAAGAAUAUAAAGAGAAAAGUUUUAAAAAAGAUAAUAAGCAAAACGUGUAUCAUGAGGAAUUUAACAUCGAUUGUGAUAUGGAAAAAGAUUUUUACGAUACAUGUAUAAAUUAUAUUGAAUAUGAAGAUAUAUGUUUAUAUAACACUAUACGAACAAUAGGAUACUCAAUGUAUUGUUAUAAAAACAAUAUAUUUUUUUAUAAUUUAAAAAAAAAAGCUAAAAAAUAUUAUUUGAUUGGUUUUCAUGACUUUUUAAGUAGUAAUAAAUUUAUUAUGUGUAUAUUAAAAAAAAAAAAAAAAAUCAAAAGAUGAUGGUGGUAUAUUAUAUGUUCGUGGGUAUGAUUAUAAUAUGCUUCCAAAUUUAUCAAAAACAAAAAAUAAUAUGAAUAAAUUAAAAAAAAUUAUAAAAAUAUAUACA
rnacentral:lncRNA from 1 species